UACAGAGGGGGCAAGCGUUGUUCGGAAUUCCUGGGCGUAAAGGGCGCGUAGGCGGCCCGCUAAGUCGAACGUGAAAUCCCCGAGCUCAACUCGGGAACUGCGUCCGAUACUGGCGGGCUUGAAUCCGGGAGAGGGAUGCGGAAUUCCAGGUGUAGCGGUGAAAUGCGUAGAUAUCUGGAGGAACACCGGUGGCGAAGGCGGCAUCCUGGACCGGCAUUGACGCUGAGGCGCGAAAGCGUGGGGAGCGAACCGG
rnacentral:rRNA from 1 species